AAUAAUAAUCAUUCACUGAAUGUCAAAUUUAAGUUCAUUAUUAAUUAUAUUCCCAUUCUGAUUCCUCCUGAAAAAUGCCAAAAUGAGAAAUCUGCCCAGGAAAGAGAACAGAAAAGGCAGAAAGGUGACAUUAGAAGUGAAGAGGAGGAAGAAGAACAAGAGCAGAAAUGGAAAAGGAAAGAGAAGUAGGAACAAAUGGAAAAAGUGAAGGUAGAUCUGGAAAAGGAACAACAGAGGAGAUGGAAGAGAUGUGGCCAUGCACAUGCAUCCAAACCUAUCAAUGUUCCAGCAUGAAGAAACAUAGAUAACAACAAAACAUCUUCUAAUAUAACAGAAGACUAACAACACAGCGUGUGAAGGAGCCAGCAAACUGAUCCAGCACUGCCAGGCAAAUUCUAAACUAAAGUAUAACAUCACAGAUCUUUUAAUCUGAAAUAGUUUACAGAAACAGAAACUAGAAGAAGAGUGGAGGUGCCAUGAGGAGGAGGUGGCAGCAAAGAAGUCAUAAUUAGAGAAAACAGCACAAGAACGUAUUUGGCAGCAGCAGGAUUAUCACAGGAAGCUUCUGCAGUUCCAGAAGAAGCAACAGUUAGAGGAACAUGGAGCAGCAGAUGGUCUGUAGAAAGGCUAAUGCUUACUUUAGUUGCAGAUAAUUCUUCAGAAUGGAUGAUUUCUGGUAAAGACAUAGACAGCCUGCGUGUGUCUGCCUUGAGAUUCACGUGACACUAAGUCCCACACUUACAGUACCUCAGCUGCUCCUCAGUUAAACAGGUAUGGUAACAAUAGUCCUCUCUGCCACAGUCCCUGCAGCCUGAAAAAAAGAGAAAUUCCACAGCCUAGCUAUGAUGCAACCAUGAAGAUGCUAGCAAUAACAAUGUUUGUGCUACAUCUCUUCA